ensembl:lncRNA
CGCCCCGGCACUGAGCGCUCGCUCGCACCCGCGGCAGCGCCGCUUGCCCGCAGCCUCUUCGCCUGCUGUCGGGAGGCCGGAGCAGGAAUGGAAGGUGUUACUGGGAAACAGGAUAACCUUGAACCAAGGCUGUCCCCGGCGCUGGUGGAGCUGGAGGCAGCGUAGCUCGCCGUCUUCCCAUAUCUGAUAGAGGCAGAGCGCAGCCUUACACCGGCCUUUUCUGAGAAUAUCAGUGCUGUGUGCCCAUGAAAAGCAUCACAGUCAAAGACUUUAGAGCUGCCCCCUUAUUUUCGUCCUCUUCAGUGGAGAAAUGAAAAGGCCUGUGUGCACUUCACAGGAAAUGAAUGUCUGAUACAAGCUUGCAGACUGCACAUUUCCAAGAACUGCUCUCAAGAAACCAACCAUGCUUGCAGGCUUGCCUGCCUUGAAGAGUACUCGGAACGCAUCAAACUAUCUUGUGGGUUUUCUUUGGGUAAAAAACCUUUUAGCCUGUAUCAGCAAAGUGUCACGCUAAAGCAGAAAGCACAUGUCAUGGAAAAGUAUGACAAGAAACACAAAACUGAAACAUCAAAUCCAUGGAAAGGUGAGGUGUCUGUGGGUUUUGAGGGAUGCUCUCCAACCCUAAAGUUAUGAA